CCUACGGGAGGCUGCAGUGAGGAAUAUUGGUCAAUGGACGAGAGUCUGAACCAGCCAAGUAGCGUGAAGGAUGACUGCCCUAUGGGUUGUAAACUUCUUUUAUAUGGGAAUAAAAUGUUCCACGUGUGGGAUUUUGUAUGUACCAUAUGAAUAAGGAUCGGCUAACUCCGUGCCAGCAGCCGCGGUAAUACGGUGGAUCCGAGCGUUAUCCGGAUUUAUUGGGUUUAAAGGGAGCGUAGGUGGAUUGUUAAGUCAGUUGUGAAAGUUUGCGGCUCAACCGUAAAAUUGCAGUUGAAACUGGUAGUCUUGAGUGCAGUAGAGGUGGGCGGAAUGCGUGGUGUAGCGGUGAAAUGCUUAGAUAUCACGAAGAACUCCGAUUGCGAAGGCAGCUCACUGGACUGCAACUGACACUGAGGCUCGAAAGUGUGGGUAUCGAACAGGAUUAGAUACCCGGGUAGUC
rnacentral:rRNA from 1 species